rnacentral:rRNA from 1 species
CCUACGGGAGGCAGCAGUCGGGAAUUUUGGGCAAUGGGCGAAAGCCUGACCCAGCAACGCCGCGUGAAGGAUGAAGUUUCUCGGAAUGUAAACUUCGAAGAAUGGGAAACGGUACCAUUUGUAAGGUCCGGCUAACUACGUGCCAGCAGCCGCGGUAAUACGUAGGGACCAAGCGUUGUUCGGAUUUACUGGGCGUAAAGGGGCGUAGGCGGCAAUUCAAGUCAGUUGUGAAAUCUCCGAGCUUAACUCGGAACGGUCAACUGAUACUGCUUUGCUAGAGUACAGAAGGGGCAAUCGGAAUUCUUGGUGUAGCGGUGAAAUGCGUAGAUAUCAAGAGGAACACCUGAGGUGAAGACGGGUUGCUGGGCUGAACUGACGCUGAGGCCGAAAGCUAGGGGAGCAAACGGGAUUAGAUACCCUAGUAGUC